rnacentral:rRNA from 1 species
CCUACGGGAGGCAGCAGUGGGGAAUCUUGCGCAAUGGGCGAAAGCCUGACGCAGCCAUGCCGCGUGAAUGAUGAAGGUCUUAGGAUUGUAAAAUUCUUUCACCGGGGACGAUAAUGACGGUACCCGGAGAAGAAGCCCCGGCUAACUUCGUGCCAGCAGCCGCGGUAAUACGAAGGGGGCUAGCGUUGCUCGGAAUUACUGGGCGUAAAGGGAGCGUAGGCGGAUAGUUUAGUCAGAGGUGAAAGCCCAGGGCUCAACCUUGGAAUUGCCUUUGAUACUGGCUAUCUUGAGUGUGGGAGAGGUAUGUGGAACUCCGAGUGUAGAGGUGAAAUUCGUAGAUAUUCGGAAGAACACCAGUGGCGAAGGCGACAUACUGGCCCAUUACUGACGCUGAGGCUCGAAAGCGUGGGGAGCAAACAGGAUUAGAUACCCUGGUAGUCCACGCUGUAAACGAUGAGUGCUAGUUGUCGGCAUGCAUGCAUGUCGGUGACGCGAGCUACGACAUUAAGACACUCCGCCGUCGGGGAGGUACGGUCGCGAAGAAGUUAAACUAACAAUAGUAAGUUAGUACGGCGUGAGACGUGACCGACGGACGACCGACGAGGGAGGAGG